UUGGACGGAGAGUUCGAUCCUGGCUCAGGAUGAACGCUGGCGGCGCGCCUAACACAUGCAAGUCGAACGGCACCCUUCUUCGGAAGGAA
rnacentral:rRNA from 1 species